rnacentral:rRNA from 1 species
CCUACGGGUGGCUGCAGUGGGGAAUAUUGGACAAUGGGGUGAACCCUGAUCCAGCCAUGCCGCGUGUGUGAAGAAGGCCCUCGGGUUGUAAAGCACUUUCAGUGAGGAAGAACGCCUGGUGGUUAAUACCCAUCAGGAAAGACAUCACUCACAGAAGAAGCACCGGCUAACUCCGUGCCAGCAGCCGCGGUAAUACGGAGGGUGCGAGCGUUAAUCGGAAUUACUGGGCGUAAAGCGCGCGUAGGUGGCUUGAUAAGCCGGUUGUGAAAGCCCCGGGCUCAACCUGGGAACGGCAUCCGGAACUGUCAAGCUAGAGUGCAGGAGAGGAAGGUAGAAUUCCCGGUGUAGCGGUGAAAUGCGUAGAGAUCGGGAGGAAUACCAGUGGCGAAGGCGGCCUUCUGGACUGACACUGACACUGAGGUGCGAAAGCGUGGGUAGCAAACAGGAUUAGAUACCCUAGUAGUC